rnacentral:rRNA from 1 species
AUUGAACGCUGGCGGCAUGCCUUACACAUGCAAGUCGAACGGCAGCACGGGAGCAAUCCUGGUGGCGAGUGGCGAACGGGUGAGUAACGUAUCGGAACGUGCCCAGUCGUGGGGGAUAACGCAGCGAAAGCUGUGCUAAUACCGCAUACGAUCUAUGGAUGAAAGCGGGGGAUCGCAAGACCUCGCGCGAUUGGAGCGGCCGAUAUCAGAUUAGGUAGUUGGUGGGGUAAAGGCCCACCAAGCCGACGAUCUGUAGCUGGUCUGAGAGGACGACCAGCCACACUGGGACUGAGACACGGCCCAGACUCCUACGGGAGGCAGCAGUGGGGAAUUUUGGACAAUGGGCGCAAGCCUGAUCCAGCAAUGCCGCGUGCAGGAUGAAGGCCUUCGGGUUGUAAACUGCUUUUGUACGGAGCGAAACGGCUUCCACUAAUACUGGGGGCUAAUGACGGUACCGUAAGAAUAAGCACCGGCUAACUACGUGCCAGCCGCCGCCGUAA